rnacentral:rRNA from 1 species
AUUGCCCCAGUAACGGCGAGUGAAGCGGCAACAGCUCAGAUUUGAAAUCUGGCCCUUACGGGGUCCGAGUUGUAAUCUGUAGAGGAUGCUUUUGGCGACGCGCCUUCCGAGUCCCCUGGAACGGGGCGCCAUAGAGGGUGAGAGCCCCGUAUGGUUGGACGCUGAACCUCUGUAAAGCUCCUUCGACGAGUCGAGUAGUUUGGGAAUGCUGCUCAAAAUGGGAGGUAAAUUUCUUCUAAAGCUAAAUACCGGCCAGAGACCGAUAGCGCACAAGUAGAGUGAUCGAAAGAUGAAAAGCACUUUGAAAAGAGGGUUAAAUAGCACGUGAAAUUGCUGAAAGGGAAGCGCUUGUGACCAGACUUGCGCCCGGUUGAUCAUCCAGCGUUCUCGCUGGUGCACUCUGCCGGGCUCAGGCCAGCAUCGGCUCUCCCAGGGGGAUAAAGGUCGCGGGAACGUAGCUCUCUCCGGGGAGUGUUAUAGCCCGUGGCGGAAUGCCCUUAGGGGGGGCCGAGGCCCGCGUUCGCAAGGAUGCUGGCGUAAUGGUCACCAGCGACCCGUCUUGAAACACGGACCAAGGAGUCAAGCAUUAGGGCGAGUCUUUGGGUGUAAAACCCGCAGGCGCAAUGAAAGUGAACGGAGGUGAGAGCUUCGGCGCAUCAUCGACCGAUCCUGAUGUUCUCGGAUGGAUUUGAGUAAGAGCCUUACCGCUUGGACCCGAAAGAUGGUGAACUAUGCCUGAAUAGGGUGAAGCCAGAGGAAACUCUGGUGGAGGCUCGCAGCGGUUCUGACGUGCAAAUCGAUCGUCAAAUUUGGGCAUGGGGGCGAAAGACUAAUCGAACCAUCUAGUAGCUGGUUACCGCCGAAGUUUCCCUCAGGAUAGCAGUGUUGUCUUCAGUUUUAUGAGGUAAAGCGAAUGAUUAGGGACUCGGGGGCGCUAUUUAGCCUUCAUCCAUUCUCAAACUUUAAAUAUGUAAGAAGCCCUUGUUGCUUAGU